rnacentral:rRNA from 1 species
AUGGCAUUGUCUACCGGUGCAAGCAAGGAAGCAAUGCUUUGUAAACAACAAAAGCAACAUGAUGCCAAAAGCCAGUACCUUCACCGCAACACCCGUCCUGCCGAAACGUAUGGCUGCUCCAUCUCUCACUGCAUUCUGAGGAGCUCCAUGACAUGGAACUGUGAAGUUUCAUUUUGUCUUAACCAAGAUGAUCGAGUGAUAUAUCGCCGCCCGCGACUGGAUUUCUUGGGGACAUCAUUUCUUAUCCCUGCAAGUGUUCUUCCCUAUUUCUUGGAGACAGCUUCAGAGAUAGCAAAGGAUCUUGACGACGCCGUCAAACAAUUGAUUGAUCUUUUGUGUGAAUGCGACCGUACUACACGAGGCAAAGCUAAAGCAUUUUGCUUUGGUGGCUGGGAUGCUGAGGGUCUGGGAGCAUCUGCUGUUCUUAGAGCUACAGCAGAAGCCUUAAAAUCCACAAGUGAUCCUGACAUGAAAAGGCAUAUUGGCAGAAUUAUCCAUGUGGAUUGCUCCCUAUGGAAAAAUACAAGGGCCAUGCAGAGGGCAAUCGCGGAGGAGUUGAACCUUCAGCAUGUAAUGGCACUAUUUGAUGAGCAGGAUGAAGAAGAUUAUUUUAGAGGGGUAGAUGAGAGCUCUAGGGAAGUGAUAGCAAGCAUCGGAAGAGUGAUCUAUGAAUCUCUAAUGUAUGAAAAGUUUCUGCUGAUUUUCCAUUAUGGGGGAGAUGAAGAUAUUGAUCUGGCAGAGUGUGGCAUUUCUGAAGUUGGUCCGUUUGGUAAAGGUAAAUUGCUGUGGACCAAUCAUGGAAGAUUUCCCUACUCAGUGAGAGGAUUUCAUAAGUUGAUGUCCAUUUCUACUUACAUUGACAUGACCAUCUACUCUGGCCCUCAAGAUAUGGUCUCCAACUCCAUCUCUAUCAAAAAUAGUAGUCACCCGGUGUGUGCUUUCUUUCACAAACAAGCAGCUGCAGUGAUUGAUCACACCGGCAUGGAUGGCAUCAACCCGACAACAGUUCUAGAUUGCUUAUUAUACUCAACGUUCCUGACACAACAAUCACAUCAAAACCGAGCUAUCGGUGUCGACUAUGGUUGGGAUACUCACGCUUGCAACUACUGGAUUUGUGAUGGAAUCCUUCAAGGGGACAGAGCUUGGGAGAUUGGCAAUGCAUUAUAUGGAGUGAUAUCACGGUUAGGCUAUUCUUCAGCGGCAACAGGACCAUUUGCAGAGUAUUUGAAUCGGCGAGAAAACCCCUAUAAUGGCUGGUAUUCAGUUACCUCAAACAAACAAACUGCACAUGACAUGUGUUAUGUACCCAAUAGCGCAUCAUCAUAUUUCCUAACUUAUAAGGGACAUGAUCCAAUUUAUCUACGUUAUGAUUUUUUUCACCUAGCUACCAAUCUCCGUGUGCUAAAACUCAGCAAGUGCAGCUUUGAUUUUGCAUAUCCUCCUUUUCGGUGUUGCCACAACUUGAGAUUCCUUUGGCUUGAUCACUGCACAAACACAAGGAAGGGGUAUGGCAGAGGAUCAAUUUUUCCCAACCUGUUGGUGUUUGACUUGCGUUUCACAGAAUAUGUUUUAUUUCCAAAGAUGAUUGAACUGAUGACAGAUCUCAGGGAGAUAAAUACAAAGGGAGUCUCAUGGAAGACUAUCAGUCAUGCAUGGAAAAGGCUACAGAAACUUCACAAGCUCCGAGUAACCGAAUCUUCAGAUGUCAUCACAGUGGACAGUUUCUCUUCCAUAGAUAUGAUGGAUCUGCAGCUCCUUGAUUUGUCCGGCAACACUCGCAUGGAAUCAUUACCUGAAUUGUCAUCAGCAAUAAGUUUGAAGAUGCUUGUUCUUGAUGGUUGUUCCAGCUUGGAGCAUAUUGUACUCCAAGGAGCUCUUCCACUGCUUGAGAGUUUCAGCUUUGAUGGUUUUGGCCCAGCUGACAACUGGACACAUUCCAUAGAUCUGCCACAAAGGGAAUUACGACUCAAGUCUCCGGUAGCUCUAGAUGAGAAGAAAGCCAAGGUGGUCUCACAACAAAGGAAUAAAGGGAAAGAAAAGGCCAAGGUGGCCUCCCAAAAAGAAGAAGAAACAGCCAAGGUGGCCUCGCAGAAAAAGGAAUUAAAAGCCAAGGUGACCAAGAUCUCCCUAGAGGGUUGUGUUCGAUUGCAUAAAAUAUUCUUGCGUGCAUUGCCCAAUUUGAAGGAACUGGACCUCUCUAGUACAUCCAUUAAAGUGCUCAACCUCAAGGCAAUGGGUGUUCCAGGCCUCAGGAAGCUAUUCCUAUUGGGUUGUCAGCAACUUCGUGCCCUGAUCUGGGACGGAUACCCUAGAUUGCAAGUGCUACAUGUAGACACACGGGGAACCACAAGAUCAAUGCGGGGUUGUGGAGAACACGGAUCCUUUGACUUUAAGGCAUGUGUUGCCUUUACAGAUGGAAGGUUCAUAGGGCCAGCCAUACAAGGCAUAAAAAACCAAAUUUACCCUAACUCCUCCAGGGUACACCUCCUUAUCACUUGUAUGGAUCAUAGCCAAGCCAGCAUCACGAAUAGUGUUGAGGAGGUUUGCCCUAGCCAAGAAACCAAUUUGGUUCCAACAGGGAAAUUGUCUCUUUAUAAUGAUAUUGCCCUUGUCAAGGAUGUCAAAUGCUUGUCCUUGUUAUGGGACCGUCGACAGCUUCAACCUUUGGACAAGCACAUCGAGAUUGGCGAAGGAAGCUACAACUUUGAGAGUAUAGAUGACAAUGGACAUUUCAGGGAUUUUGUUUUGACAUUUGUUCAAUCGUUGCAUGUGCAUGACAAUUCAUCCAUCACUGCUAUUCCCCCAAAGCGUGGAGGGAUCUGGCGCGGCCUAGAAUGGUGUCAUGUGGAUAGGUGCCCCAAGCUCCACAUUCUUUUUAAAUGUUGGAGGGCACAAAUGAACUUUGAACACAUAAGGGCAUUCUCAGCUUCUGAUCUCCCGAUGGCCUAUUGCAUCUGGGGUAGAGGCAUUAAUACUCAAAGCAGUAGUCGUUGUUUCAAACAACUGCAGCACAUAUACCUGCACAACUGCCCUCGGCUGGUGUUCGUCCUCCCCAUUUCCUUCAUCUUGCAUAGCUUGGAGACCCUCCAGAUUGCGUACUGCAGUAACCUUCGACAUGUUUUCCCAUUGGACAAAUGGUGCCCUCAAGAAAUCGCAUCUAGUGUCAAAUUCGAGAAUCUGAAGCACAUCAAGCUAUACCAUCUUCAUAGCCUGGAGCAGGUUUGCGAGGCCAAACUGACCGCACCAGCAUUACAGACGAUCAGUCUCAGGGAUUGCUGGGGCCUGAGGCGUCUACCGGCUGUAGCACAUGAAGGUCCUAAGCCGGUGGUGGACUGUGAGAAGGACUGGUGGGAUAAGCUCAUGUGGGACGGCAUCGAUGUUGGCCAUUACCCGUCGCUCUUCGAAAUACGCCACUCAGCUCACUACAAGAAGACCAUCCCAAGGGGCUCCCUUCUAAGAUAA